rnacentral:rRNA from 1 species
UACGUAGGGAGCGAGCGUUGUCCGGAUUCAUUGGGCGUAAAGAGCUCGUAGGCGGCUUGAUAAGUCGGAUGUGAAACCUCCAGGCUCAACCUGGAGUCGCCAUCCGAUACUGUCAUGGCUAGAGUCCGGUAGGGGCCCACGGAAUUCCUGGUGUAGCGGUGAAAUGCGCAGAUAUCAGGAGGAACACCGGUGGCGAAGGCGGUGGGCUGGGCCGGCACUGACGCUGAGGUGCGAAAGCGUGGGGAGCAAACAGG